rnacentral:rRNA from 1 species
GACGAACGCUGGCGGCGUGCUUAACACAUGCAAGUCGAACGGCAAGGCCCUGCUUUUGUGGUGUGCUCGAGUGGCGAACGGGUGAGUAAUACAUGGGUAACCUGCCCUUGACUUUGGGAAAACUUCCGGAAACUGGGGCAAUUACCCGUAAGGUGUUCCUGCUGCAUCGUGGGGGCUUGAAAGUUUCCGCGGUUGGGGUUGGCCUGGCGGCUUAUCCGCUUUUUGGUGGGGUAGUGGCUCACCAAGGCUUUGACGGGUCGCCGGCAUGAGAGGGGGAACGGCCACAUGGCGACUGCGGUAGGGCGCAGUCGCCUACGGGGGGCAACGGUGGAGAACAUUACACAGUGGGCGGAAGCGUGAUGCAGCAACGCCGGGUUCGGGAUGACGGCCUUCGGGUUGUAAACCGCUUUCGCCUGAGACGAAGCGUGAGUGACGGUAAUGGGUAAAGAAGCACCGGCUAACUACGUG